UGGGGAACCUGCCCCAUAGUCUGGGAUACCACUUGGAAACAGGUGCUAAUACCGGAUAAGAAAGCGGAUCGCAUGAUCAGCUUUUAAAAGGCGGCGUAAGCUGUCGCUAUGGGAUGGCCCCGCGGUGCAUUAGCUAGUUGGUAAGGUAAAGGCUUACCAAGGCGAUGAUGCAUAGCCGAGUUGAGAGACUGAUCGGCCACAUUGGGACUGAGACACGGCCCAAACUCCUACGGGAGGCAGCAGCA
rnacentral:rRNA from 1 species